rnacentral:rRNA from 1 species
CUACGUGCCAGCAGCCGCGGUAAUACGUAGGGUGCGAGCGUUAAUCGGAAUUACUGGGCGUAAAGCGGGCGCAGACGGUUACUUAAGCAGGAUGUGAAAUCCCCGGGCUCAACCUGGGAAUUGCGUUCUGAACUGGGUGGCUAGUGUGUGUCAGAGGGGGGUAGAAUUCCACGUGUAGCAGUGAAAUGCGUAGAGAUGUGGAGGAAUACCGAUGGCGAAGGCAGCCCCCUGGGAUGGCACUGACGUUCAUGCCCGAAAGCGUGGGUAGCAAACAGGAUUAGAUACCCUGGUAGUCCACGCCCUAAACGAUGUCGAUUAGCUGUUGGGCAACUUGAUUGCUUGGUAGCGAAGCUAACGCGUGAAAUCGACCGCCUGGGGAGUACGGUCGCAAGAUUAAAACUCAAAGGAAUUGACGGGGACCCGCACAAGCGGUGGAUGAUGUGGAUUAAUUCGAUGCAACGCGAAGAACCUUACCUGGUCUUGACAU